UCCCUCGAGCCGUAUUUGAACCAGCGGCCUAAGGAUCACCGUUGUAACAUCUUCAGUCCUCCGCUCUACCGACUGAGCUAUCGAGGG
rnacentral:tRNA from 1 species